AGUUUCAAUAUGACUGCCUGGAUGAAGAAGGAUUUGAGACUAAGUUUAUUCCUCCAAAGCAAACCAACUGAGAAUGCAGUUUUCAAUGCAACCCAUCAUCAAAGGGAAGGAGUUGAUGAAAAGAAAUGAAAUUGAAACGUGCACCUGGGGAGAAGUGAUUGAAGGUUCUUCAUUUAAGGGAUUGGCUCCUUUUCUCUUAUUAUACUGUGAAAUCUGAAAACAUCUCUUGAAAUUCUGGUCACUGUCUUCUGGACAUCCCAAGGCGCACCAUCUCCACAGUUCCUCCCUCCUAGAUUAUCCCAUCCAGUGUGGCAUCCAGUGUGGCAAAUGGAAAGACUCUUCCAGUGGGCAACUGAAAAGGACACCAAAGAAAGCAGAUACAGCCCAUGAUCAAAGAAGCACAUAACUUCAGUUUGGAACAUG
ensembl:lncRNA novel transcript